rnacentral:rRNA from 1 species
AAGCCUGCUUGGGUUGCAUGGAAUACAAUGACUCAACCAAAAUUCGUGGGAGGACUUGGCUUUCGAGAUUUUGAGCUUUUUAAUUUGUCUCUUCUGGCAAGAAAGUCAUGGAGGAUACUACAACAUCCAGAGUCACUUUGUGCGCGUAAUUUGAAGGCAAUUUAUUUUCCUAAUGAAACUAUCCUCUCCGCAGAGUUAGGCAGCCGACCAUCACAAGUGCGGCGCGCCAUAUUGGAAGGGCGCGGCAUUCUUUCUCAAGGAUUGAUACGACGAAUGGAAGAUGGCUCCACAACAAGGAUCUGGAGAUAA